GGCAGAUUGAAGGGACCCUCUUGGCAUUCUGGAUCCAAGAGGAAAACAUAGCAGGCGCAGUGAAUGCUCAAGUAAACACAAACAGCAGCAGCCGUGGGGUUACGAGUGACCUGACUGCAGGCUCUGUCCUCUCCUGGCCUCCAGCCUGUGUGUACAACACACAUGCCCGCUUAAAGCCCCGCUUAAAGCGGGAGGGCAAAAAUCUCCUGCAACUGGGUGACCUCUGUUGUCAGCAUUUGGCUAAUUAAGGAAAGAUAUUACCCUACAGAUCUCUAUGCCUUGGUCCUACUUCCUGCUCAUUAAAAAAUGGUUUAAUGAGAAAAAAAUCAAGGCAACAGAAUCCAAAUUAUUAUUUUUUCUCCCAAAUGAGCUGAAUGACAGUGGCUGUUGCCAGAACGCUUGAACAAUAGGAUUGUGACACGAAGACUGAAAUCUAAACAACAUGAAGAAAUCUCGAGAGCCCAGCAGUCCCCAUUAUCUCAUGCUUGCACGACGAUAGUCCAAAAGAUGAGUGAUGAGUCUCCAUUUGUGCAAGCACAGCAGCAGUCCAAGGCCCUGACACAGCCACUAAUUGCCCAUCUGCUUGUUUACACAGCCCAGAGAUGGUGACUGGACAAACAGUUCAUUUCCCUUGAAACGGGACCAAACUGGGAGGAGCCUGUCACAUGGGACAGAGGAGGACUAGGAAGAACUCUCAUGAGAAAGUGCCCCCAGAUCAAAGCCAAGGACCAGCAAGCCAAGCAAAGAUGGGUUCCAGCGGCUGGCUUCUCACAGGCAGCUUCGGGUCUACCGCUUUCUGCACCCUGCCCACCCACUCCCAGCAGAACUGGAACCCCUCUCCCUGAGGACAGGACAUUUUGAACCAUUCACGUAAAAGUCUCAACCACGGAGCGUCAGCACCAACCCACCCUUCAGGCGUUGGCAGCAAGGACAACUGUGUUCAGGUGAACUUCUAGCCCUUUCAGACUUCACUGGAUGCUUGGCAUUUGCUACACUAGUUCCCAUUUUAGUGUUCUGCUUGUCUCGUAGACUGGACUGUAAACAACUUGAGCACCAGGGACCUGAAGCCCCCGGAUUCCACAGCAGGGCACUUUACAUGUGAAGAGCCAUUAGCCAGGAAAUGCUUAUGGUUGUUAAUGAUGAUAAGCUACUCCAAACAUAGUUUCUUUUAUCUGCCUACAUCAGAAGCUUGGCUUCUUGAGACAAGAGACUCAGACUUCUCAUUUAUACUCUUGACAGACUGUGGAAAUCAAUAAUGGCUUGCACCCAUCAGUGUCCUGGAAGUAGGAUUGAGAGAGAAGAUUCUCUUGAGAACCGAUUUCUCCUCAAAAUAAGAUUAGGCUUGAAAAAAAAAAAAUCAACCUCCCCACUGCUUAGCUCACAGGAAAAAGCCAGUAACUAUGUAAGAAGGCUAACUACUGCGAGACCACCAUGCUAUGAGAAAGCGCAAGCCAUGUGGAGUGACUGCACGGGCUCUCAGAGAUGCCCAGCCAAGCCCCACCCUCCAUCCACCCGAGCCGAGGCUCUGCAGCCUACAGAUGAUUUCAAUUCCAGCCAUAAUCUAACUCCAACUUCACAGGAGACCUGAAGCAAGAACUAGCCAGUUAAGUCUAAUCAACUCAUUAAACUGUGAGAGAUAGGCAUACAUUGUUGUAGCCUACUAAGUUUUGAGAUGGUUGGUUAUGCACUGUGGAUUCCUAUUACCAAUCGGCUAUAAUUAUAAAAUAUCCACUGGCAAAUAUAAGUUCCAGAGGCAAAGACUGUGUUCCUUUUGCUCAUCAUUGUAUUCAUAACAUGCAGCACAGUGCCUAGAACACAGAAAGCCCUAAACUAAUAAUACGUAAAAGUUUGAAAAAGUUUAUCUGUACUAGUAUGAAAGAAAGACCCAUAGUCAAACGGCUGACAUUUUUUAGCAAGUUUGAUGGGCACAAUAACCUUAUGGUGGUGGUAUUACUACCUCUGUCUUUGAGAUGAGGGAACCUCAGCUUUUUUUUUUUUUUUUGAGGAAGUAAGCUUCCCAAGCUCAGAAAGGUAGGGGAGAGGGCCAGGCAUGGUGGCUCACACCUGUAAUCCUAACACUUUGGGAGGCCAAGGCGGGCAGAUCACCUGAGGUCGGGAGAUCGGGGCCAUCCUGGCCAACAUGGAGAAACCCUGUCUCUACUAAAAAUACAAGAAAUUAGCCGGGCAUGGUGGCACAUGCCUGUAAUCCCAGCUACUUGGGAGGCUGAGCCAGGAGAAUCGCUUGAACUCAGGAAGCAGAGGUUGUGGUGAGCCGAGAUCACACCAUUGCACUCUAGCCUGGGCAACAAGAGCGAAACUCUGUCUCAAAAAGAGAAAAAAAAAAAAAGAAAGAAAGGUAGGGGAGAGAUUUGAACUCAGAUUUGUGCAAUUCUAAAGCCAGCCUGUUUAUUAUAGUCUCCCAGGAGACUACAACAGAAACAAUGAGAAAACAAUUUGAAAGAGAUGCAAAACCCACCCCUUGAAUCUUACCCAGGACUAUGGAGCUCCAUUAAUUGCUGUCAACACGCUGGAACCUAUUUCACAUGAAGCUCAGACCAAUUACAAUUAAUGCCACAGUCAUGACUACAAACUAGAAACCAAUGCCAGAGGAAGCUUAAGUUAAAGAAAGCAACGAUCACGCACAUAUAUUAUGUUAGCAAUUAGGCUUAAUCCUAGAAUCGUGAAGCCAAAGAGAAUAUAUUAAAGAGAGAACAGUGCCCUCCUGGGAAGAAGAGCAAUUUCAAAUAGACUUUUUAGUGGCUUUCUACAUUACUUACUUGAAUAUAUUAUGCUCCCCUAGAAUUACUAUAUUACAAUUACUCACGCCACAUUUUAUUUAUUUCAGCAAGGAAAUGGGAUGGUGCAAUGAGCUCAGUGGGCAGACGGUUUGGUUAUUUCAAUGAAUAAUUUGAAUGUCAACAAGUUGGUGGAUGCUAAGAUGAAAGGGGAAGUAGUAAAUAGCAAAGGUCUCAAUGCCUGACUCUGAGAUGGAGUAAGGAUGAGCUAUCAGGACUGGCACUUCACUUCUAAAUGUUGAGCACUCAGGUUUUGCUAAAUUUAUAAAAGCACAUGAACUAACUAACAUCGCAUAUUUCCUUAACGAGAAGACCAGUUUAUCUCUGUUUAAAACAGUUCUGAUCUACUCAAAUACACAUUUUUAAUUUUCACUGAAAAAUGUUAUAAAUAAAUCAAAAUUUAAAUAAAAAAACUGGGAGGGAAAGGUAGAUCUACUUCUCAAUUCAGAAGAUUAAUAAAAGGAUUAAGGAAUUAAAUAAUCACAUUCUCUAGCCUCAGCUCACGACUUUUUCAAGGCUCAGUUUCUCAAUAAAUGGAAAAGCAAAUUCUCAUUAUUCUCCCAAUCUGUUUGAAAGCAGAGCUGGGGUGUUACAGUGAUUAACAGUUAUCAAGGCCCAUUAAAGUUGUUAAUUAUAGUGGCGUUCACUAUCUUUUUCCAUCAUUUUUAGCUAUUGAGACAGGGUCUUUGUGGAUCCCAAGGAUCAUGUGUUUGCAGUUCAAUUCAGCAGCCACUAGGUGGUAAUAUUGUUGAUUUUGGUAGCCAUGAAGUGUGAUCUAUCAGACCUGCCCUCUUAAAUGGAAUUAUGUACAUCCCUUAUAUCAUCAAGAUGUAAUUAUAGAAAUAAUUAUACUUUAAAAUAUGUAAAAUAUUUUAAUUGUGAAAAAUAUAAUCCCUUAUAAAAGUUCCAUGCAUAUCUGGUACCUUUUAAACUUAUGCUAAUUCUACUUACCUUUUAUUCUAAUUAUACACAUGACUAUCUUCAAAUUAUACAUAUAACAAAAAUAAAGUGUCUGGUCUUAACAGAAAUCCAGCUUAUAUUCAUUGCUUCUGGCUUAUUUUUAGAAGAGAUGAAAAAGAUGCACAUAACUUUCCUUCUAAAAUUAUGGCCGUCCUCUGUAGUAAAUAAUUAUUUGCCACUUGAACUUGGAACCACUGCUAUUCGCACCAUUGGGUAAGUAAAAUUUCUGUGAUUAACUUUCUGAGACCCACUGUCUGAAGCAUCUGAUAAGAUUUGACAAAAUCACGUAACAACAGCAGCGGCUGAUAUACAUAGUGCCAGGUUCUGAGCUAACUGCUCCACAUACAUUAGUCCUGCGUUCCUACUAGAGCUGCCACAACUCAUUUAAGGCCAAAUGAACUCAGCAGAAGAAACAUACCCGUAUUAUUUGAAGGAAUGAAAAGAUCUUUCCAGAAUUGGACAUUGUCUGCGAAACUAUGUAUUAUAUAACAUGUAUUAUGCACAAUAACUCCCAGAAGGCAAUACAGGUGUUAAGCUCUUUCAUUAUGAAGAAGACAAUAACUGUAUAAAUCAAAGAGAAGUCUUGUGAUAGCAUCUUUGAUCAAUCACUGAUGAAAACCUUGCCAUAGUUGUCAAGAAUCCAAAGAGAAAGUGGUGGCUAGGCCAAUAAUUACGUGAGGCAAUUUAUCAUGAGAACAACCAUUAUGCAAGAUGCAGAGCUCAAUACUGAUUCCAUAAAAUACUUAAAUACUUGUCACUGCAAUUCUUUACUAAUUACAAUGGAAACUUUGUUGUUAUUGUUGGGAAAGGUAAAAGAGGACCUCUAUUAAGACCUCAGAAAAGGAAUCUUUGAGGUUAAGCUGUUACCCAAGGUUAAGGCAAAUCUACUAUUCUGAUACUUUUCUCCUUUAGAUGAUGAAACAAAUAUGCUUAUUUCUAUUUACCCCUAGGGUCCUGGGACUCAAAAGAAACCAAGUGGUUCUCUAAGUUAGUAGGAUGGCACAGUAACAACGCUGGGAUUGAGCUCACCCUGACCCUGAGUAAGUUACCAAGACCCUCAGACUCAGUUUUCUUAUCUGGAAAGUUAGGAAUGAAAAAAAUCAGUUUCAAAGGAUUGCUGCAAAAUUAAAUGAAGUGCUAUGCACCUGUUGAAGUCAAGUAUAGCAUGCUCCCCAAUCACCCCCCAACACACACACCAGAACUAACAAUUCAGGAAGGAAAUUUUCAGUAUAUUGGUGUUUCUCACAGAGGGUCAAAGUGGGACAAUAAGAAUGCCUUAAAUGUAACACAUUGUAUUUAUUAAAGCUUUAUAGUUUAUAUGGUGGUUUCCCAUGUAUGUUAUCUAAUUUCAUCUUCAUAAUGACACUGUGUACUAGAUAUUACUAUUCCCAUUUUACAGACAAGAAAAAAAAAAAGGCCCCAAGAACUUAAAAUCCUUUGCAAAAUCACAUAGAAAGGUUAAGUGGUGAACCCAGUGUUCAAACCUAGGUCUUCUGACUUCAAGCACAAAGCUCUCUCACUACAUUCAGAUCACUUAAAAACACAACAUUUUAUUGUGCCUAUCGUUAAUAAGACUGUAUUGCACACUUAAGAAUUUGUUAAAGAGGGUAGAAUUCAUGCUAAGUAUUCUUACUAAAAUAAUAAAAGUUGUAUGUAUGUAGAAAAAAGUAUUGCUUAAUCUAAUUAAACUAAACAGCUUCUGCACAACAAAAGAAACUAGCAUCAGAGUGAACAGGCAACCUACAGAAUGGGAGAAAAUUUUUGCAAUCUACCCAUAUGACAAAGGCCUAGUAUCCAGAAUCUAUAAGGAACUUAAAUUUACAAGAAACAACCCCAUCAAAAAGUGGGCAAAGGAGAUGAACAAACACUUCUCAAGACAUUUAUGCGGCCAACAAACAUGAAAAAAAGUUCAACAUCACUGAUCAUUAGAGAAAUGCAAAUCAAAACCACAAUGAGAUACCAUCUCCCACCAGUCAGAAUGGCGAUUAAAAAGUCAAGAAACAAUAGAUGCUGGUGAGGCUGCAGAGAAACAGGAAUGCUUUUACACUGUUGGUGGGAAUGUAAAUUAGUUCAACCAUUGUGGAAGACAGUGUGGCGAUUCCUCAAGGAUCUAGAACCAUAAAUGCCAUUUGACCCAGCAAUCCCAUUACUGGUAUAUACCCAAAGGAUUAUAAAUCAUUCUGCUAUAGAGAUGCAUGCACACGUAUGUUUAUUGCAGCACUAUUUACGAUAGCAAAGACUUGGAACCAACCCAAAUGCCCAUUGAUGAUAGACUGGAUAAAGAAAAUGUGGUACAUAUAUACCAUGGAAUACUAUGCAACCAUAAAAAAGGAUGAGUUCAUGUCCUCCUAGUUUUUCCAAAACAAACUAAUGAAAUGUGAAAAGGGUGAAUUCACAAGGGGCUAUACAUAGAAAGAAAGAGCCUGACUGACUUGGCUCCAUCCUCUACUUCUACCUGGGGACAUUUCCAAUCAUCAGAAAGAGGUUAAUGCAAUUGCAGCUCCAGAGUCUCAUCAAACUAUCUUGGAUUCUGCCAUGAUGAAAGGGAAAUGAGGAGAUUACCCAAUAACACCAUCAUGAGGUUGUCCUUAGUAAUACUUCAAUUCUUACAUGGUUGAGGGCCUACUCAAAGUUGUAAAAAUCAGUUUAAGGUAUAGUCCCCUGUUCUACCAAAGCAAGCAAAUAAACUGGUUCCAUAACGUUGAAAAGAUGUAGGGGUGUGUGUGUGUGUAUGUGUGUGUGUGUGUGUAAAUAUCUGCUGCUGCUCUAGGAAAGACCCUGUAAGAGUUAAUGAUACUUAUCUGACAAAUAAUAUCUUACCUCCAAACCCAACCACUACCAUCUCUCUUCCACUAGCAUGUAGUUCUGAGACAGUGUUUAAAAACAGAAGACAAGGCUGGGCGUGGUGGCUCGUGCCUGUAAUCCCAGCACUUUGGGAGGCUGGGGUGGGUGGAUCACUUGAGGUCAGGAGUUCCAGAAAAACAGGAGACAAACUCUUUAAAAAACUAAGAGUUAAGGCCGGGCGUGGUGGCUCAUGCCUGUAAUCCCAGCACUCUAGGAGGCCGAGGUGGGCGGAUCACAAGGUCAGGAGAUCGAGACCAUCCUGGCUAACGCAGUGAAACCCCGUCUCUACUAAAAAUUACAAAAACUUAGCCAGGCGUAGUGGCGGGCACCUGUAGUCCCAGCUACUCGGGAGGCUAAGGCAGAAGAAUGGCAUGAACCUGGGAGGCGGAGCGUGCAGUGAGCUGAGAUCGCGCCACUGCACUCCAGCCUGGGUGACAAAGCGAGACUCCAUCUCAAAAAAACAAACAAACAAAAAAAUUAGAGUUAAGGCCUAAAAUGCAAAUACCCACGGAAGAGGUCAGAUCCUGACAAUGAUCUCAAGAUAUAAAUGACUGAGAUUUGGUUCUAUGUUUGUGAUUAGGUUUAAAGGAUGGUCUGUGUCGGGGUAAUCUGAGAGAAGAUCUUUACUCUCUCAUUUUGGCAUAUUCAUAAAAGUGUACAUUGAAGCACCUGUGUAAUGAAGAGCCCAAAUGAAAUAAAGAACAGGAUUAUGGCAAUAAGAAAAAAAAUAUGAGGAACAGGUAAAACACCCUACAUAUUAGAGGCCUCUUCUUGACCAUAAUGUAAAUUAGGGUUCAUGUUACAUACCUAAUAAUAACAUCACAAAAGUGUGACGCCUGAAACUGAAGUGAUGAUGGAAGCAUGAGCAAAAUAAGUGAAGUCAAUCCAAGUCAAGGAGAAAGAACGGAGGGGUUCCAGCAGGUUCAUGUGUGUGCACGUGUGUGUGCGUGCACACGUGUGUGUGUAUUAGACUGUCUUGAGCUCUCAAUGCCUUUAAACAUUUCCUUGCAUUUUCUCAUUGACUGGGAGGCUUCCAUUAGAUAGAGCCAUCUAGAGCGAUGUUGAAGAAGGCAGCCAUAGGAAACAAACCAAGGUACUAGCUCAUAGAUCUUGCUUGAUAAGGGACCUUCAGAUUUCCUUUUAAGUUGUCCAGUUCAGCACCCAAUGAAAGUAAUGAGACUGUGAGUAAGACCAUUUGGUUUCCAAUUCUAGGUUCAGGUGGCUAAGGGACCCCAGUUGGUAUAAUGAUGGAGAAGCAAUGAAUAGGAAGCAGAAUCUUAGGGAAAAAUGUGAAGUGCGAAGUACUAUAGAAAAUUGUUUUUCAAAAAAAAUUUGUUUACUAUUUUAAGAGGUACUCACUGGUUAAAACACCCAAAUUUAUAACAAAUCUGCAUACGCCUAUGAACCUCAUCUGCCUAUUUUCUACCUGCUGCAGCAAUGAACCUGUUUGAUUAGUUUUAGGAGUAAUAGUCUAAAUAUUUAACAAUAACAUAGGUACUAACUAGCAGAACAGGCAACCUGUAUGGGUGUUAUGGUGAGGACCAGCUGAAUAUCAGUCUUGGGUUAGUUCUCUUUUGUUUUUUUUUUUUUUUUUUUUUUCAGAGACAGAGUCUCACUCUGUCACCCAUGCUGGAGUGCAGUGGCGCAAUCUCGGCUCACUGCAAGCUCUGCCUCCCGGGUUCAUGCCAUUCUCCUGCCUCAGCCUGUUGAGUAGCUGGGACUACAGGCGCUUGUCACCACGCUCAGCUAAUUUUUUUUUUUUUUGUAUUUUUAGUAGACACGGGGUUUCAUCGUGUUAGCCAGGAUGGUCUCGGUCUCCUGACCUCGUGAUCUGCCCGCCUCGGCCUCCCAAAGUGCUGUGAUUAUAGGCGUGAGCCACCGCGCCCGGCCAGUCUUAGGUUAAUUCUUAUUUGUUCUCACUGUUAGGUAGUAUUCAUUUUUUGCUUCAUUUUUAUCUGAAUGAUAAAAUAAUAUACCUAAUAAUAACAUAACUACUCUUCUGACCCUUGCUUUUAUCCACUUAAACAUAUACAUUAGGGAUCCUCCAGGUCAAUACAUACAGACUUUUUUUUUAAAAAAGAUGCUUAGUAUUCCAAUGUAUGGAAAUACCAUAAUUUCACAACUCCAUUACUGGAUAGUCAUUAGAAACCGACUUCGGGGGAAAACAUACGCUCUUUGCAGGAAUUUCUGGGAAAAAAAAUCCCCUCUAGCCCUUUUAGAUAAAAGCCUACCUAAUAGACCUGUGAUAAAAUAGCUUUCUUUUCUUUAUUUUUUUUUUGGAGGAGUCUCACUGUGGCCCAGGCUGCAGUGCAGUGGUAUGAUCUCAGCUCACUGCAACCUUUGCUUCCUGGGUUCAAGCGAUUCUCCUGUCUCAGCCUCCAGAGCAGCUGGGAUUACAGGCGCACACCACCAUGUCCGGCUAAUUUUUGUAUUUUUAGUAGAGAUGGGGUUUCGCCAUGUUGGC
rnacentral:lncRNA from 1 species